GUAAUAGCUCACUGGUCGAGUCGGCCUGCGCGGAAGAUGUAACGGGGCUAAACUAUGCACCGAAGCUGCGGCAGCGAUAUGUAAAUAUUGUUGGGUAGGGGAGCGUUCUGUAAGCCUGUGAAGGUGUGCUGUGAGGCAUGCUGGAGGUAUCAGAAGUGCGAAUGCUGACAUAAGUAACGAUAAUGCGGGUGAAAAACCCGCACGCCGGAAGACCAAGGGUUCCUGUCCAACGUUAAUCGGGGCAGGGUGAGUCGACCCCUAAGGCGAGGCAGAAAUGCGUAGUCGAUGGGAAACGGGUUAAUAUUCCCGUACUGGUGAUAAUUGCGAUGGGGGGACGGAGAAGGCUAGGCUGGCCGGGCGACGGUUGUCCCGGUUUAAGGAUGUAGGCAGGUGAAUUAGGCAAAUCCGGUUCACUAUAUGCUGAGGUCUGAUGACGAGUCACUACGGUGGCGAAGUAGCUCAUGCCCCGCUUCCAGGAAAAGCCUCUAAGCUCUAGAUUAUCACUAAUCGUACCCCAAACCGACACAGGUGGUCAGGUAGAGAAUACUCAGGCGCUUGAGAGAACUCGGGUGAAGGAACUAGGCAAAAUGGUGCCGUAACUUCGGGAGAAGGCACGCUGGCGUUAGGUGAAGUGGUUUACCCAUGGAGCUGAAGCCAGUCGCAGAUACCAGCUGGCUGCAACUGUUUAUUAAAAACACAGCACUGUGCAAACACGAAAGUGGACGUAUACGGUGUGACGCCUGCCCGGUG
rnacentral:rRNA from 1 species